CCUUUUUGCAUAAAUAGUGGUUACACAAACACAGAUGAGGAACACAACACCGUUCACCACGGGAGAGAAACUAGUGUUAGAUUAUUGACACUGAAACUGUCAGAAAGUGAACAAAAAUAUAGAAAAGGGAAAAUGAACAGAGAACAUGGGAAAAGCGUUAAUGAUAGCUAUGAAAAUGACUUUGUUACAAAAGGAACAUUUGGAAAAAGGACCACAGACAGUCACACAACGAGAAUCCAGUCAUCUGAACUCACAGGAAGUGAUGAUGUGAUGAUCAGAAACUCCAGAGCAGCUGCAGUAGUGUUUGUGCUGCUGUGUGUUCUUCUGCUGACUGCACGCAUAAUACUGUGUGCCACCUUCACUCAAGAGAGACAACAGCUACUAACUAAGAUCACCAACCUCACAGAAGAGAGAGAACAGCUACUAACUAAGAUCACCAACCUACUAACCAACAAUACGAACCUCACAGAAGAGAGACAACAGCUACUAACUAAGAUCACCAACCUCAAAGAAGAGAGAGACCNUGUGUGUUCUUCUGCUGACUGCAGUCUUAGUGCUGUGUGUCCUCAUCUACACAAAGAGUACAAACUACACAGAGGAGAGACAGCAGCUGCUAACUAAGAUCACCAACCUCUCAGAAGAGAGAGAACAGCUACUAAUCCGAAAUGAAAACCUGACUAAUGAGAGAGAGCUGCUAAUAUUACAGAUUGGUAAACUGACGAAAGAGAGAGACCAACAAGUGGCUUCAUAUCAUUGAACAAGCAUUUCAUUACAGUCUUUCUUGAUUGCUAACACAAUUCAUUAAACUAGUCACUAUUUUCUCACAACUAUAAACACAAUCUCAAAACUACACACCAACUUGUACAAACUUCAAACUUCCAGGUCAAAAUCAAAUAUUGUAGUCAAAAACAUUCUCUUUUAAUCAAACUUUGGCCUCAGAUGAAACACAAACCUGUCAAAUACACAGAGUACUUGUUAUUUUAAAUAAAUGUGUGCUAUCUGAGUUUAUAUUGUGAUGC
ensembl:lncRNA